rnacentral:lncRNA from 1 species
UUCAAUUCCAACUCUCCAAUCUUCUUGAACAUAGAGAGAGGCAUUAAGUUGAUGCUUGCUCCCAAAUCUAUCAAAGCCUUCCCAAUAGCUAACGUCCCAAUGGUGCAUGGGAUAGUAAAACUACCAGGGUCUUUAAACUUCGGUGGAAGAAGCUUUUGAAUGAUGGCACUACAAUUGCCUUAAACUUCAAUGGUUUCUGCUUCAAUAUACUUCCUCUUUUUGGUGAGUAGCUACUUCAUAAACUUUGCAUAGGCUGACAUUUGUUGGAAUGCUUUUGAGAAGGGUAUUUUAAUCUCCAAUUGCUUGAAGAUCUCCAUAAACCGCCCAUAUUGCUUCUCCUUCUCCUUUCUAGAGUAGAUUUUUGGGUAAGGGAGUGGUUUCUCAAAUUCCUUCUUCUUUCCCUCAACUUCCUCUCUCUUUUCCUCUUCUCCUACACCCUCAUUUUUCUCACUUUCGUCCUCUCCUUUUCUCUCCUCUUUCUCUUUGUUUUUCACUCCACUUUCAUCUUCUCUUUUCUCUCCACUCUCUCUCCACUUCCUCAGCUUUCUUUUCUCUGUCCUCCCUCUCUUUUUCAACUAACACCUUACCACUUCUAGUGGUGAUAACUUUACACUCUUCCUUUGGGUUAGCCUCUGUAUUGGCUCCAAAACCCUUGUCAAAUUUCUCUUCCAACUUCUUGGCCAGUUGGCCCAUUUGGAUCUCCAAGUUCCUGAUGGAAGCUUCAGUGCUUUUAUGAUUGGAUAUGGAGACUUGCAUAAACUAUUGGAGAGUGUCUUCCAACUUAGAGGAUCUUUCAGCACAAGCAGAGUGAGGUUGGUAUUGUUGAUGUGGUGGUCUGUUUGAUGG